rnacentral:rRNA from 1 species
GAUGAACGCUGGCGGCGUGCCUAAUACAUGCAAGUCGAGCGAACGGACGAGAAGCUUGCUUCUCUGAUGUUAGCGGCGGACGGGUGAGUAACACGUGGAUAACCUACCUAUAAGACUGGGAUAAUUUCGGGAAACCGGAGCUAAUACCGGAUAAUAUUUUGAACCGCAUGGUUCAAAAGUGAAAGACGGUCUUGCUGUCACUUAUAGAUGGAUCCGCGCUGCAUUAGCUAGUUGGUAAGGUAACGGCUUACCAAGGCAACGAUGCAUAGCCGACCUGAGAGGGUGAUCGGCCACACUGGAACUGAGACACGGUCCAGACGCCUAAGGGAGGCAGCAGUAGGGAAUCUUCCGCAAUGGGCGAAAGCCUGACGGAGCAACGCCGCGUGAGUGAUGAAGGUCUUCGGAUCGUAAAACUCUGUUAUUAGGGAAGAACAUAUGUGUAAGUAACUGUGCACAUCUUGACGGUACCUAAUCAGAAAGCCACGGCUAACUACGUG